rnacentral:rRNA from 1 species
AAGUCAUGACUAGUACGGCGAGUGAAGCGGCAACAGCUCAAAUUUGAAAUCUGGCUCUCGGGCCCGAGUUGUAAUUUGUAGAGGAUGCUUUUGAUGCGGUGCCUUCCGAGUUCCCUGGAACGGGACGCCAUAGAGGGUGAGAGCCCCGUCUGGUUGGAUGCCAAAUCUCUGUAAAGCUCCUUCGACGAGUCGAGUAGUUUGGGAAUGCUGCUCUAAAUGGGAGGUAUAUGUCUUCUAAAGCUAAAUACCGGCCAGAGACCGAUAGCGCACAAGUAGAGUGAUCGAAAGAUGAAAAGCACUUUGAAAAGAGAGUUAAAAAGUACGUGAAAUUGUUGAAAGGGAAGCGUUUAUGACCAGACUUGGGCUUGGUUAAUCAUCUGGGGUUCUCCCCAGUGCACUUUUCCAGUCCAGGCCAGCAUCAGUUUUCGCCGGGGGAUAAAGGCUUCGGGAAUGUGGCUCUCUCCGGGGAGUGUUAUAGCCCGUUGCGUAAUACCCUGGCGGGGACUGAGGUUCGCGCAUCUGCAAGGAUGCUGGCGUAAUGGUCAUCAACGACCCGCAA